GGGCGCUUGAGGCUGUAUGCCGAAAGCGUUUUGUGGACGGUAUACAGCAGAAAGCCCCAGGCGAUUUUUUUAUCAAUCAACCAGGGGCUCUACUGUAAUGCCUAGACAACAUUAUAGUAGCCCGAUAACCGCCGUAAGGCAAUGGAGGGGCUAUGAUG
rfam:Escherichia coli SE11 plasmid pSE11-1 DNA, complete sequence.